rnacentral:rRNA from 1 species
UACGGAGGGGGCGAGCGUUGUCCGAAGUUACUGGGCGUAAAGGGCGCGUAGGCGGGAACUUAAGUCCGCUGUGAAAGCCCGGGGCUCAACCCCGGAGGGUCGGUGGAGACUGGGUUUCUUGAAAGGGCUAGGGGGAGAUGGAAUUACCGGUGUAGCGGUGAAAUGCGUAGAUAUCGGUAGGAACACCAGUGGCGAAGGCGGUCUCCUGGGGCCUGUUUGACGCUGAGGCGCGAAAGCUGGGGGAGCGAACGGG